rnacentral:rRNA from 1 species
UACAUGUGGGGCAAGCGUUGUUCGGAAUUACUGGGCAUAAAGGGUGCGUAGGCGGCUUGCUAAGUCAGUGGUGAAAUCGUCCGGCCCAACCGGACACGUGCCAAUGAUACUGGUGAGCUUGAGUGCGUGAGGGGUAGGGGGAACGAGCAGUGUAGCGGUGAAAUGCGUAGAUAUCUGGAGGAAUACCGGUGGCGAAGGCGGCAUCCUGGACCGGCAUUGACGCUGAGGAGCGAAAGCUAGGGGAGCAAACGGG